AACUGCGUGCUUAGGAGAGCAGAGGUUUUCCUAAUCAGCUAGCACUCUCUUCCACAACCUACUUAUUAGUUCAGCAAAAUUAUGGUUAUUCUUUCAAGCCCAGCUUACAUGUCACUCCUAGGAUUAUAAAUUCGAAUGUCCCCAUGAUAUACUAUUUUACGUUCUUUGCUUAUUCUAGUGCAUAUUACGGUAUGAUUAGUUAUGGCGUAAAAAUCAUUUUUUCCUCAUCAAUUUCUGGGACAGUUCCUGACUCUGGGCUACGCACCUACGCUAAUACAAAAGUGAGCCAGAAUCAUUUGCAAUUUCUGGCAGGACUCUAGCAUCAUCUGAGGCCUAGGAGAAAAAGGAUGAAGUUCCUUUUAGAGACCUGCUUUCCCAGUCUCCCCAAGCCUCAGGCAUCUGCCCUACAGGCUAUCCACAGAUUUGUUUUCCACCGGCUUUCCACACCCUCCACUUCCACUCCCAGCACAGUUCCCUGUGGGCUCAGUGACUUAAUCCUCCCACAGAAGAUCUGCAUUUAAAAGAGAGUGGGCUGAGCGCGGUGGCUCAUGCCUGUAAUCCCAACACUUUGGGAGGCUGAGGUGGGUGGAUAGCAAGGUCAGGGGUUCGAGACCAGCCUGGCCAAUACGGCGAAACCCCAUUUCUACUAAACAUACAAAAAUUAGCCGGGCGUGGUGACGGGUACUUAUAGUCCGAGCUACUCGGGAGGCUGAGGCAGAAGAAUCGCUUGAACCCGGGAGGCGGAGGUUGCAUCGAGCCAAGAUCGCGCCACUGCGCUCCAGCCUGGGUGACAGAGUGCGACUCCGUAUCAAAAAAAAAAAAAAAAAAAAAAAAAAAAAAAAAGACAAUUUGGCCAGGAAGUGACCGGCAAUGGAAAGAGGGAAAUAAUCAGCACAUCCGCAUGUGUGCCCAUCUCAGAGACACAAACUGUGAAUAACAACUCACUUGGCUUCAUAACCAAGACCUACUCUGAGGAAUUGCAUCUCUUCCUUGGAGACCUUGAUUGGCCUGCUAGGUUAAAGGCAAGGGGCAGAUUUAAUCUAGAUUGACUUUAGCAAGACUUUUGACUCAGUCUUGGGCAACAUACUUAUCAAUAAACCUUUUGCUUCUCA